GCUUUGCAUGGAAUCAAUGGGAUCAAGUCAAGGCCAUAACAUCCAUGAAUGCCUUUUCCAUCUUUAACUCAUGGAAGGACAAAUGACAUCUAGGCAAGAGAUAAAGGUCCUUUCCAUCUUUAACUCGUGGAAGGACAAAUUACAUCUCGGCAAGAGAUAAAGGAAAAUCACUAUCUAUCCCCUUCCCGGUCCAGUUCAGCCCUCCAUAGAAAUUCUGAGAAGAAGCAGCGAAGAAACCUUCACGAAACCCACACGAAGAGAAAUACAGAGAGAGAGGAAGAGGGACAAUGGAGCCGCCCCAAUUUCAAGAGAUUAGCAGGAACGUUAAUGCUGUGGAGGAUAAGCAGGACAAAGCCACCAAUGAAUGUUGUUCCUGCUGUUACGACUGCACGGAGAGCUGCCUCGACUACUUGUUCUGUAACCUCUGUUAGGCGCAUCGGCGGAGUCCCCUUUGGAGGAUUAUUUUGGUCCGAGAUGGAAUCAUGUAGAGAGUGAUCUAAGGUCAAAAGAUGGGAACUAUACAGAGAGAAAAUUAGUACUGCUUUAUGCAUUUUUCGUUCCGGAAUGAUGUUUUUGUUCUCUGAUCUCCUUGUUAGAAAGACACUGAAUGAAACCAGUUAGUCUAAAUGAUCUAUAUUUGUGAAA